CCGAGGUAAGGGUUGGGGUUAGGUUUAAUUUUCUGUUUAUGUUUAGUUAGGGUUUAAAAUCUUAUUGUUUAUGUUUAGUUAGGGUUUAAAAUCUUUAGUUCUAUAGUUAAUUAGGGUUGAAUCUUGCUUUUUUCUUAAUUAGGGUUGAGUCUUAUUGUUUAUGUUUAGUUAGGGUUUAAAUAUUGUUGUUUAUGUUUAGUUCUAUAGUUAGUUAGGGUUGAAUCUUGCUGUUUUUUUAAUUAGGGUUGUUGUUUGUGUUUAAUUAGAGUUUAAAUAUUGUUGUUUAUGUUUAGUUCUAACUAUUUAGGGUUUAUAUUGCUGUUUAUGAUUGAGUAUUGAUGUUAUUGUUGUUUAUGGUUUAAUAAUACAUGGAUGUGAUCCCGACUAUCAUGUCGGUUCCUAUGAGGAAUGUGGGCCCGGCCAUCGUGCCAAGGGGGUAUAUGUGGCUGGGAGUUUUUUUUUAUGCAGGUAUAACAUUCGGGUAGACUCAUUUGUUGUUUUACAACAAUGGUCAUGCCGAAAUUUUCUUGUUUUACAGCAUAGAUCAUGCCGAUUUUUCCGUUUUUUAAAUUUACUUCUAUAAGUGUUGG
rnacentral:lncRNA from 1 species